rnacentral:rRNA from 1 species
GAACGCUGGCGGCGUGCUUAACACAUGCAAGUCGAACGAGNUCCAACCUUCGGGUGAAGACCGAGUGGCGAACGGGUGAGUAACACGUGGGGAACCUGCCCUUCUCUCUGGGAUAACUCCGGGAAACCGGAGCUAAUACCGGAUACUCCUUGCGGACCGCAUGGUCUGCUCGGGAAAGCUCCGGCGGAGAAGGAUGGCCCCGCGGCCCAUUAGCUUGUUGGUGGGGUAACGGCCCACCAAGGCGACGAUGGGUAGCCGAGCUGAGAGGCUGAUCGGCCACACUGGGACUGAGACACGGCCCAGACUCCUACGGGAGGCAGCAGUGGGGAAUCUUGCGCAAUGGGCGAAAGCCUGACGCAGCAACGCCGCGUGCGGGAUGAAGGCUCUCGGGUCGUAAACCGCUUUCAGCAGGGAUGAAAAUGACAGUACCUGCAGAAGAAGCCCCGGCUAAAUACGUGCCAGCAGCCGCGGUAAUACGUAUGGGGCAAGCGUUAUCCGGAUUCAUUGGGCGUAAAGCGCGCGUAGGCGGCUUGUUAAGUCAGGCGUGAAAUCCGGGGGCUCAACCCGCGGCUUGCGUCUGAAACUGGCAGGCUUGAGUCUGGUAGAGGAAAGUGGAAUUCCUGGUGUAGCGGUGAAAUGCGCAGAUAUCAGGAGGAACACCAGUGGCGAAGGCGGCUUUCUGGGCCACGACUGACGCUGAGGCGCGAAAGCUAGGGGAGCGAACAGGAUUAGAUACCCUGGUAGUCCUAGCCGUAAACGAUGGGCACUAGGUGUGGGGGGUCAUCGACUCCCUCCGUGCCGAAGCUAACGCAUUAAGUGCCCCGCCUGGGGAGUACGGCCGCAAGGCUAAAANUCA